rnacentral:rRNA from 1 species
ACUCAAAGGAAUUGACGGGGGCCCGCACAAGCGGCGGAGCAUGUGGCUUAAUUCGACGCAACGCGAAGAACCUUACCAAGGCUUGACAUACACCGGAAACUGCCAGAGAUGGUGGCCCCGCAAGGUCGGUGUACAGGUGGUGCAUGGUUGUCGUCAGCUCGUGUCGUGAGAUGUUGGGUUAAGUCCCGCAACGAGCGCAACCCUCGUCCUAUGUUGCCAGCGAGUAAUGUCGGGGACUCAUAGGAGACUGCCGGGGUCAACUCGGAGGAAGGUGGGGAUGACGUCAAAUCAUCAUGCCCCUUAUGUCUUGGGCUGCACACAUGCUACAAUGGCCGGUACAAAGGGCUGCAAUACCGCGAGGUGGAGCUAAUCCCAAAAAGCCGGUCUCAGUUCGGAUUGGGGUCUGCAACUCGACCCCAUGAAGUCGGAGUCGCUAGUAAUCGCAGAUCAGCAACGCUGCGGUGAAUACGUUCCCGGGCCUUGUACACACCGCCCGU